rnacentral:tRNA from 1 species
ACUUUUGUAGCUCAGUAGUAGAGUACAGGUGCGUAAAACCAGGGCCCCGGGUUCGAUUCCCGGCAGUAGCA